rnacentral:rRNA from 1 species
CCUACGGGAGGCAGCAGUGAGGAAUAUUGGUCAAUGGACGAGAGUCUGAACCAGCCAAGUAGCGUGAAGGAUGACUGCCCUAUGGGUUGUAAACUUCUUUUAUAAAGGAAUAAAACGAGGCACGUGUGCCUUUUUGCAUGUACUUUAUGAAUAAGGAUCGGCUAACUACGUGCCAGCCGCCGCGGUAAUACGGAGGAUCCGAGCGUUAUCCGGAUUUAUUGGGUUUAAAGGGAGCGUAGAUGGGUUGUUAAGUCAGUUGUGAAAGUUUGCGGCUCAACCGUAAAAUUGCAAUUGAUACUGGCAGUCUUGAGUACAGUUGAGGUAGGCGGAAUUCGUGGUGUAGCGGUGAAAUGCUUAGAUAUCACGAAGAACCCCGAUUGCGAAGGCAGCUUACUAAACUGUGACUGACAUUGAUGCUCGAAAGUGUGGGUAUCAAACAGGAUUAGAUACCCUUGUAGUC